rnacentral:rRNA from 1 species
UACGUAGGCAGCGAGCGUUGUUCGGAGUUACUGGGCGUAAAGGGUGUGUAGGCGGUUGUUUAAGUUUGGUGUGAAAUCUCCCGGCUCAACUGGGAGGGUGCGCCGAAUACUGAAUGACUAGAGUGUGGGAGAGGUGAGUGGAAUUCCUGGUGUAGCGGUGAAAUGCGUAGAUAUCAGGAGAACACCGGUGGUGUAGACGGCUCACUGGACCAUAACUGACGCUGAAACACGAAAGCGUGGGUAGCAAACAGG